rnacentral:rRNA from 1 species
AUUUGGAUUAAUACCUUAUAGUAAUACGACUUGGCAUCAAGAUGUAUUUAAAGAUUUAUCGGUGAAAGAUGAGCAUGCGUCCCAUUAGCUAGUUGGUAUGGUAACGGCAUACCAAGGCUACGAUGGGUAGGGGUCCUGAGAGGGAGAUCCCCCACACUGGUACUGAGACACGGACCAGACUCCUACGGGAGGCAGCAGUGAGGAAUAUUGGACAAUGGGCGCAAGCCUGAUCCAGCCAUGCCGCGUGCAGGAUGACGGUCCUAUGGAUUGUAAACUGCUUUUAUACAGGAAGAAACACCUCUACGUGUAGAGACUUGACGGUACUGUAAGAAUAAGGAUCGGCUAACUCCGUGCCAGCAGCCGCGGUAAUACGGAGGAUCCAAGCGUUAUCCGGAAUCAUUGGGUUUAAAGGGUCCGUAGGCGGUCAGAUAAGUCAGUGGUGAAAGCCCAUCGCUCAACGGUGGAACGGCCAUUGAUACUGUCUGACUUGAAUUAUUAGGAAGUAACUAGAAUAUGUAGUGUAGCGGUGAAAUGCUUAGAGAUUACAUGGAAUACCAAUUGCGAAGGCAGGUUACUACUAAUAUAUUGACGCUGAUGGACGAAAGCGUGGGUAGCGAACAGGAUUAGAUACCCUGGUAGUCCACGCCGUAAACGAUGGAUACUAGCUGUUGGGAGCAAUCUCAGUGGCUAAGCGAAAGUGAUAAGUAUCCCACCUGGGGAGUA